CUUUGGCUUUGUGCUGAAAAUAAUUCAAAAAAUACCCUCAGAACUCUCUAAGGUCAUUUCUUUGAAGGUCCUUUCCGUGCAUGUCCGCUUGGAGAGGGAUUUUUUCCCCCUUAUCACCCUGCUUGGCUGCUAGGACAACUAGUAAAUUGAGUUGUUGUCUUGCUAAUGGGUUGUUGAGAAGAUGAUGCGACUGAGUUAAUUGAUUUCAACCUUGCUUAGUUGUGUUAACAUUUUUGUUCCUCGCCAUGUGGUUGUGUCUCAGGCAACAAGAAGUGUGCAUCAGUGCAUGUUUCCUUUCCAUGCUUUAAGUUUAACUGACUUGCGGAAAUCUGAAUGGGGUAAUGAACUAUGCGGCCAUUCAUUCUUCAAGCUUUUCUUACAAUCAAGGGGUUAUUGAAUGAUAAUGGACUUAUAGAGUUAAAUGCCCAAGAGGAAGUUAGAACUUCCGUAGCUAUUGGGAGAUGGAUAUGAUGAGUUGAGAUGAGUUAAUUAUUUUGUGUGUUCACCAUCAUUAAUUUCUUUUGUGAAUGACAAAAGUGGUCCAUGUGUUGGUCGUUCUGGAUAAGAAAUUGUCUAGAAAACAAGUUCUUCACUCUGUCAUUUGUUUCUUUCACAUUGUAUUUGUAUCUAUCUAGAUGUAAGUGAUCAUAAUGUAUUGGGGGCUAAGUACGUUGUUCUUUUAGGCUUUUAGCGAUUUUACACAUCAAACUAACAUUUUAAUGGACUAUCUUGCUACCAGUAUGGAGUGGGCAAUAACUCUUAGUAGCCACUAGCCAAUGCAAUAAGCCAUUGACUGAGUAGAUAUGCACUUGGCUGGUAAUGUGAUUAAUUUAACACUACGAGUAAAGCUUCUCCCCUCUGUUGCACACUAGAUUUUUUUUUUUCAUUUGGCUUGUAGGUUCUAGAUGCAAUACUGGCUACUCAUCUUUAAUUAACAUUCAUGUUCAAUAUAGUGUAAUAUCUUAUGAGAUUAAUAAAUAGAUGAAAUCUUAUCUCUUAGUGCAUUUUGAGUGAUUCCAUGAUACAUGAUUCUGAGGAAAAAUGAUAAGGGUGGCGAAAUGGGAUGUAAUACAGCAAGGAAAUUUGAAAAAUCUCAAUCUCUUUGUGCAUGUCUUAUCUGUGCCCUUAGGAUCUUCUGCCAUGCUUUGUUGCACAUAUGCACACAUGCCAAUUUGGCAAAACUUCAAAUUGUUAGUAAUUUUGCGCAUAUAUCUUCAGUUCUCUAAUACUUUUUAUUAUGUAGUUUUUUAGUUUAUUUCCUGGCACAGAACACUAUUUAUUUGAAGCAUGCAUGUCCUUGUCUGACAAUACAUAUCCCUAGAAUUCCUCCCCCCCUCCCAUAUGGCUUUUCAUUCUAGCAUACUCUUUUUAGCCUUACUGAUGGUGUUUAAUAUUCACUACUUGCUUUCAGCUGUGGAAGUCUCUGUAGGCGCCGAGGAGCAGAUUUUAAGUUGUAACCAACCUGACAUGGAUGAUUGUGUGGGUUGUGAAAAUCAAGAUGAGGAAGCAGUGGCAAUGAUGGAACAAUCACCUUCAGGUGAUGAAGCUGUAGAUGGUAAUGAACCAGCCUGGAACAUGGAUUGCUCAACUGUUGUGAGAGUUAAAACGUUACACAUCAGCUCUCCCAUUUUAGCUGCAAAAAGUCCAUUUUUCUACAAGCUCUUCUCAAAUGGGAUGAGGGAGUCAGAGCAGCGGCAUGUGACACUACGGAUCAAUGCUUCUGAGGAAGCUGCCCUCAUGGACCUCCUGAAUUUUAUGUACAGCAAUAGUUUAUCUAAUACUACAGCACCUGCCUUGCUUGAUGUACUGAUGGCUGCUGAUAAAUUUGAGGUUGCUUCAUGCAUGAGGUAUUGCAGCAGACUAUUGCGUAACAUGGCUAUGACGCCAGAGUCUGCUUUGCUUUAUCUAGAGCUUCCCUCCAGUGUCUUAAUGGCUGAAGCAGUCCAACCAUUGACUGAUGCUGCCAAGCAAUACCUUGCUUCUCGUUAUAGGGACAUGACCAAGUUCCAAGAAGAGGUCAUGUCUUUACCCCUGGCUGGAAUUGAGGCAAUUUUGUCCAGUGAUGACCUGCAGGUUGCAUCAGAAGAUGCUGUAUAUGAUUUUGUGUUGAAGUGGGCCAGGGCUCAGUACCCAAGACCAGAGGAGCGCCGUGAAGUACUGGGUCAACGUCUAGCACGCUAUAUUCGCUUCCCGUACAUGACUUGCCGAAAGCUAAAGAAGGUUUUAACAUGUAGCGACUUCGAUCAUGAUGUUGCAUCCAAGCUUGUGCUUGAGGCCCUUUUUUUCAAGGCUGAGGCCCCGCAUCGCCAACGAACCCUGGCAGCAGAGGAGUCUGCAUCCUUGAAUCGUCGUUUUGUGGAGCGUGCAUACAAGUAUCGGCCUGUUAAGGUGGUAGAAUUUGAACUACCUAGGCAGCAGUGUGUGGUGUACCUGGACUUGAAGCGGGAAGAGUGUACAAAUUUGUUCCCAUCUGGACGGGUGUAUUCUCAGGCCUUCCACUUGGGUGGACAAGGAUUUUUCUUGUCAGCACACUGCAACAUGGACCAGCAAAGCUCUUUCCAUUGUUUUGGUUUGUUUUUGGGGAUGCAAGAGAAGGGGUCUGUGAACCUUGCUGUGGAUUAUGAAUUUGCGGCCAGGACAAAGCCAACAGAAGAGUUUGUUAGCAAAUACAAAGGGAACUACACAUUCACUGGAGGCAAGGCAGUUGGCUAUCGAAACUUAUUUGCCAUACCAUGGACUUCCUUCAUGGCUGAAGAUAGUCUCUACUUUAUAAAUGGCGUCCUGCAUCUUAGAGCUGAGCUCACGAUCAGGCACUGACAAAAAGCUUCCUGCUUUAGAAGCUCUAAUCCUCUUGUGUUCCUUCUUAAGCAUUAACCAAGAAUGAAAUGUAAUAAGUUGGCACCAUGCCCUAAGCUAGUUUUGGUUGGAAAGUUGAGACAUGAUUAGAAAUGUUCCUUUAAUUCCUGUCAACGUGUAGGGAAAUGUAAAUGCGGUUGGAUCCUUGGGAGGGAAUUGGGUUCUUGUUCUGACCUAUUUAUUGUUAAAAAU
rnacentral:misc_RNA from 1 species